UACGAAGGGUGCAAGCGUUACUCGGAAUUACUGGGCGUAAAGCGUGCGUAGGUGGUUUGUUAAGUCUGUUGUGAAAGCCCCGGGCUCAACCUGGGAAUGGCAAUGGAUACUGGCAAGCUAGAGUGCGGUAGAGGGUAGUGGAAUUCCCGGUGUAGCGGUGAAAUGCGUAGAGAUCGGGAGGAACACCAGUGGCGAAGGCGGCUACCU
rnacentral:rRNA from 1 species